AAUAGAUACCCAGGUAGUCCACGCCGUGACGAUGAGUGCUAAGUGUUAGAGGGUUUCCGCCCUUUAGUGCUGCAGCUAACGCAUUAAGCACUCCGCCUGGGGAGUACGGUCGCAAGACUGAAACUCAAAGGAAUUGACGGGGGCCCGCACAAGCGGUGGAGCAUGUGGUUUAAUUCGAAGCAACGCGAAGAACCUUACCAGGUCUUGACAUCCUCUGACAACUCUAGAGAUAGAGCGUUCCCCUUCGGGGGACAGAGUGACAGGUGGUGCAUGGUUGUCGUCAGCUCGUGUCGUGAGAUGUUGGGUUAAGUCCCGCAACGAGCGCAACCCUUGAUCUUAGUUGCCAGCAUUUAGUUGGGCACUCUAAGGUGACUGCCGGUGACAAACCGGAGGAAGGUGGGGAUGACGUCAAAUCAUCAUGCCCCUUAUGACCUGGGCUACACACGUGCUACAAUGGAUGGUACAAAGGGCUGCAAGACCGCGAGGUCAAGCCAAUCCCAUAAAACCAUUCUCAGUUCGGAUUGU
rnacentral:rRNA from 1 species